AUUGAACGCUGGCGGCAGGCCUAACACAUGCAAGUCGAGCGAGCGGCGGGCGGGUGAGUAAUGUAUGGGGUCUGCCCGAUAGAGGGGGAUAACUACUGGAAACGGCGGCUAAUACCGCAUACUAUCGGAUAACCCAUAUGGGAUUAGCUGGUAGGUGGGGUAAAGGCUCACCUGGGCGACGAUCCCUAGCUGGUCUGAGAGGAUGAUCGGCGACACUGGGACGGAGACACGGCCCAGGCGCCGUGGGAGGCAGCAGUGGGGAAUAGGGCACAGUGGGGGCGAGCCUGAUGCAGCGAUGCCGCGUGUGUGAAGAAGGCCUUAGGGUUGUAAAGUACGUGCAUCGGGUGGGCGUUACCCGCAGAAGAAGCACCGGCUAACUCCGUGCCAGCAGCCGCGGUAAUUC
rnacentral:rRNA from 1 species